rnacentral:rRNA from 1 species
GACGAACGCUGGCGGCGUGCCUAAUACAUGCAAGUCGAGCGCAGGAAACUGACGGAACUCUUCGGAGGGAAGGCAGUGGAAUGAGCGGCGGACGGGUGAGUAACACGUAAGGAACCUGCCUCAAGGAUUGGGAUAACUCCGAGAAAUCGGAGCUAAUACCGGAUAGUUCAUCGGACCGCAUGGUCCGUUGAUGAAAGGCGCUUCGGCGUCACCUUGAGAUGGCCUUGCGGUGCAUUAGCUAGUUGGUGGGGUAACGGCCCACCGAGGCGACGAUGCAUGGCCGACCUGAGAGGGUGAUCGGCCACACUGGGACUGAGACACGGCCCAGACUCCUACGGGAGGCUGCAGUAGGGAAUCUUCCACAAGGGACGAAAGUCUGAUGGAGCAACGCCGCGUGAGUGAUGAAGGUUUUCGGAUCGUAAAACUCUGUUGUAAGGGAAGAACACGUACGAGAGGAAAUGCUCGUACCUUGACGGUACCUUACGAGAAAGCCACGGCUAACUACGUGCCAGCCGCCGCAGUAAUAC